ensembl:lncRNA
CACAACUUCACCAACAUGUAUGACAGAGAAGGGGUAGCCUGUUGAUUUCUCAACCCCCCCCCCAAACAUUUUUUAUUAGAUGUACUAUAAAAAGACCAGUCGAUACUGUCAGGAAUUUUUAACGUUUACAACAUGCUGCAGUGAAAUUAGGCUUUUUAGUUUUGCUAAUGCAAUUUCAGAAUCCAUUGCUGGCUUACGGAAAGGGUUUAUAAAGGUCUCAAAAUGUUUACCAGAGAGCCUCGCUUAAACAAUGAGACGAAACUAAGCCCUCACUGAGUUAGCGGGAAUGCGUGACGGUGCAGAUUGAUAUUGGGAAAACACACCAGGUCAGGAAGUGAAGUUAACCCAGGCUCACGAGAACUAGAAAGUAAACCCACACCGAGACAAUGAAUAAUCCACCCUUGGCUGAAUCCAGCCCUCAUUAAAGAAACCCGCCCCUGAUUGAAAUGCCUGUCACCCUACCAAGUACUGACAAAAACCUGCCUGUGGUCGUCUCCGCUGCUCUGUCUGUCUCUCUGGAUCGCUUCUAUUAAUAGUAACAGAUGCACAGGAGGGCAGCGACGCUGCAUGCUCAAAGGUCCAGCUGCCUUAAAAACAUCUGGCCGGGAACAGCAGAUGGAAAUUGGCCUUCCUGGCUCACUUACAGUACAUCUGUUGAUUAGUGUGCAUUGUGCCCUGCAAAAAUAACUGAAUAAGUAAAUAAAUAAAUAUGCUGUUUAAAAGAAAAACACAUCUUGCAUCCGGCCUGAGGCUUCAACACAGCAGUCGGUCAAAAUACCGGUCAAAGCAGGCGACCGGAAGUACUUCUUCCCCCCAGGGUCACGGCGAUGUGCAACGGGAGCUUGCCUACUAAUGAGGGGCCUGAGAGUGUGUUGUGCGUACAGACAACAAAGGAGUGUGUUGUAGCACCAAACCGUGUUUCAGCAACACAUUUUAACUCCCGACUCAUCAAACAAGGAUGUUGAUCAGCGGCCCACCGCUUCAAGCUAUGAAGCUCGUAUCAGUUUUGGACGAGAAAACACUCAAGUGUUUACUUUCCUCUUUUCCGAGGUCACGACAGUCAAACUAGUCCGUCGUGCUUUUUGAAACAUGAGAGCUGUGAAACGGAUGACUAGAAUGAGCUGAGAGUGUGUCACUGCUUCCAUUGUUUUUUUGUAACACUGUCGUGCUAUGAGUCACCACACAUUCAUUGUGCCAUCUGACAGCCUCAAAAUUGAUAUGUCAGCAUGGCCUGGCUUGCAAACACGAUUUGAUGUAUCUAUGUAAUAAAAUGCUUGUUGUUCAAGAUUGUUUCAUGUGUAAAAUCAGUCCCUUCAAAACCUCCGUAUUCCCAUAAAAAGUACUUUGACAUUACAUAACUUUGCUGUCUAUUCUACACUGCUGUCAUACCAGCAGGGUUUACUUUACAUCCACCCCUGGUUCCUUCUCACGUAAACACCG